GUCGAACGCUGGCGGCGUGCUUAACACAUGCAAGUCGAACGGAAAGGCCCUGCUUUUGUGGGGUGCUCGAGUGGCGAACGGGUGAGUAACACGUGAGUAACCUGCCCUUGACUUUGGGAUAACUUCAGGAAACUGGGGCUAAUACCGGAUAGGAGCUCCUGCUGCAUGGUGGGGGUUGGAAAGUUUCGGCGGUUGGGGAUGGACUCGCGGCUUAUCAGCUUGUUGGUGGGGUAGUGGCUUACCAAGGCUUUGACGGGUAGCCGGCCUGAGAGGGUGACCGGCCACAUUGGGACUGAGAUACGGCCCAGACUCCUACGGGAGGCAGCAGUGGGGAAUAUUGCACAAUGGGCGGGAGCCUGAUGCAGCAACGCCGCGUGCGGGAUGACGGCCUUCGGGUUGUAAACCGCUUUCGCCUGUGACGAAGCGUGAGUGACGGUAAUGGGUAAAGAAGCACCGGCUAACUACGUG
rnacentral:rRNA from 1 species